rnacentral:rRNA from 1 species
AGAGUUUGAUCAUGGCUCAGAACGAACGCUGGCGGCGUGCUUAACACAUGCAAGUCGCGUGCGCAGUCUGUAGCAAUACAGGCCGGCGCACGGCGCACGGGUGCGUAACACGUGGGCAAUCUGCCCUCUGAUGGGGAAUAACCCCGCGAAAGCGGGGCUAAUUCCGCAUAAAAUUCCGAGGACUUCGGUUUUUGGAUUCAAAGCAGUAAUGCGUCAGAGGAGGAGCCCGCGCCCGAUUAGCUAGUUGGUGAGGUAACGGCUCACCAAGGCAAUGAUCGGUAGCUGGUCUGAGAGGAUGAUCAGCCACACUGGAACUGAGACACGGUCCAGACUCCUACGGGAGGCAGCAGUGGGGAAUCUUGCACAAUGGGCGAAAGCCUGAUGCAGCGACGCCGCGUGGGGGAUGAAGCUUUUCGGAGUGUAAACCCCUUUCGACUGGGAAGAAAACCCGCAAGGGAUUGACGGUACCAGUAUAAGAAGCCCCGGCUAACUACGUGCCAGCAGCCGCGGUAAGACGUAGGGGGCCAGCGUUGUUCGGAAUUACUGGGUGUAAAGGGUUCGUAGGCGGUGCGGCAAGUUGGGAGUGAAAUCUCUGGGCUCAACCCAGAGGCUGCUUCCAAAACUGCUGUGCUUGAGUGUGAGAGAGGCUCGUGGAAUUGCAGGUGUAGCGGUGAAAUGCGUAGAUAUCUGCAGGAACACCCGUGGCGAAAGCGGCGAGCUGGAUCACUACUGACGCUGAGGAACGAAAGCUAGGGGAGCAAACAGGAUUAGAUACCCUGGUAGUCCUAGCCCUAAACGAUCAGGACUUGGGGUGCCGCCCGUUCGGGCGUCGUCCCGGAGCUAACGCGUUAAGUCCUGCACCUGGGGAGUACGGUCGCAAGACUGAAACUCAAAGGAAUUGACGGGGGCCCGCACAAG